GGGUCAGUGGGUUGGUCGUGCCACCGGUACGUACUGGUCUCACUGAUUCCUCCUUCCUGAAGAACCGUAAUGCCAUUAAUUUGGUGUUGCGGGGAAACAGGACUGUUACUUUGAAAAAAUUAGAGUGUUUAAAGCAAGCUAACGCUUGAAUACACUAGCAUGGAAUAAUGAAAUAGGACGAUCGAUCCUAUUUUGUUGGUUUCUAGGAUUGACGUA
rnacentral:rRNA from 1 species